rnacentral:lncRNA from 1 species
UAUAAUUUCCCUAAAAACAUUUCUACACAAAUUUCCAAAUCCGAGUACUCCCCGAGUACUCGCUACUCGGUAAUCAGCCGAACAGGUACCGAGUAACGAGUUCUACAACCUUGACUGCAACAAACAUUUUCUAUGUCUAAGCACUUAGACAAUCUACAGUCAGAUUCAUGGCAGUCUUAAUUUACUACUUACUUACAAAGUAUAAUCAACUGUGGAUGUUUGAAUAACCCGGUUAUUCGGAAAGUAAAAUAUGCGAAGUGAAACACAAGAAUAACCUAAUUAACUAUGGUCUCAAAACUAUUGAAUAUAAAUAAAACACUUAUUAUUUAACCAUCAUAUUAAUCAGACUUUAUUCAUUGUAUAAUGUUUCGAGUAAUCAACUUAAUACUUUAAUUAAGAUAAUAGCCAUGCCAUGCUUCAAGCACGCACACUAUGUUUAUCUAUGAUCCUUCCUUUGUGAAACAGAUUAAUCGAACACAUUUUCAAUUAUGCUCAGUUCACAAUUCCAAAUCUUUAUCACAGGUGUAAGAAUACCAAAGUUUUUCCACUACUAGAAUCCGUUAGAGUCUAAACUUACAUGCAAUGAUUCUUUUGUAAUGUCAAGGCACCAAAGUCAUAGAGAUUUUGCCAAUGAUAUUACAAAGCAUUCCAUUGUAGAUGGGUUACAAAAACAAUUCUAGGGAAAUGAAGUCUCACAUUCAAAGAGCAUUCCUUGAACAUCCUUCUUGCAUUAAAGUUACUAAUCUUAUACCCAGAUCUCAAUAACCAACUCCUACUAUGGAAAUAUUUCCAUAUUCCCAUAUGACUAUCAAUUCUGAACAAGAGUUGCCUCCACUCAGAAGAUGUCAGUAUGGUCCUUCCAAAUUUAUACUAUACUCCCAACCUUCCACAAGCAAUCAAUCUUUGGUAAACCUCAGAUUGUCAUCGACAGUUAUUUAACAACUUUAGUCAUAUCUGGUUCUAGUCCCUUUCCCUCUUAAUGCGCUCGACAUUUGGAAAAAUCGGAACAAUUGAAUAUUAUAGCACAUGCAAUCAAUCCUAUACCUGAAGCAUAUGGGAUUCGAUUCAUAAUAUCUUACAUAAAGACAUGAUAUUUGAUCAGUCUCUUGCUAUAAUAUUUCCAUAUAUUGAAUUUCCUAUGUUGAAACAUUUCAACAUGAUAUUCAUAUACGUUCAUGACUAAGUUCCAAUAACACUUCAAUCUAAACUUUUAGAUUUGAAAUGAAGUAUUAGUGCCCUUUCCCUUAAGCUUUAUUAUAGCAAAACAAUUUCCAAACUCUGCAACCUUGCAAAUUGAAAACUUGUUUCCUAUAAAUAGCAUUGCUAUCUUGCAACACUUGUCAUUAUGAUUAUGCUCCCACUAGCAUAACAAUUAUGUUCUUAACAACAUAAAAAUUAUGCUCCCACUAGCUUUGACAUGCCCAGAAAUCGGCUGGACUUCUAGAAAACAAUGCUUAUUGUCUUUCUUACCAAGGUUCAGAUUUCUGAUACGUGGUGCUUCAAUAAGUCUUUAUCUAGACUUCUCAAUCUCAUACACCUUUCAUUAGAUAGCUUAUGUGUGCAUCUAAACCUCUUUCAGAACUUAUAGCAAUAAGUCUUGAAUGUUCAAACUAAUUGUCAUUUCUUACAAUUGGAAUGAUGAAAAGGGAUGUCGUAAUCAUACUCGAAUUUGAGAACGCAAUUAUCAUAACUGCUAACUCUAAUGAUAUUAAUCAAUCCUGUAAAAUCUACAAGUGAAAGUGUUUCCUCACAAAAAUUUUCAUGAAGUAGAGCGAAACCUCUUGUCACUUAGAUUUUAUGGUGUAUGUGUUCCUAUCCAUGUGAAUUUCUCAUUUCCAACCACCAUCAUAAGGCAAGGUUUAUGACAAAUUUAAACUCUUAUGGACUGAACUUGCUUAAUCUUAAUUUCUUGCCAUCCAGUAGCACAAGUGCCUACCAAUGCUUCCAAGUUAUUGAGCAGCUCACCCAUACAAAUCAAUGUACUUUCACUAAUCAAGGUGCUUUGCCUUAUGCAAUCAAAUGUAAAAAAUAGGACUCGUAAUCAUUGCAAACAAAACUGAAAUGGACACAGAAAUAAGAAUGUUUCAACAGGAUAGGUAAUCAACCCUAGUUCGUGUGCUAGCAUUAACAAACAGGUUUAUUCUUGAUUGUCUCUUGAACUUUUUGAAGAUUAACAAUACUCCCACUGACAUCUUGGCAUAUAAGAUUCUCUACCAAGGAACAUUCAUCGACAAACAAAUAUUCAAGAGUUAGUGUAGGUUCUUAUCAAGAAAAACACUUCAUAUAAUUGGUCUUAGUUGGUAUGUGUUUUAACCAAAACAUCACAACUACCAAUUACAAAUGUGCUAGAGCAAGAAAACAUUUAUACUCCACAUUUCAUAAGGUGUUAUAAACCUACUUAGAACAUGUUACUGAAGGUACAACUUGGAGUAAUUAGAGUAUGACUCUAAAACUUGAUUUUGGAACGAAGUGUGACUCAUCUUCUUGAUUUAACCAUUUCAAUAGUACAUGAUUCCUCUUCUUAGUCAUACAAAUGCACUAAGAUGUUCUUAGAGGAUCAAUUGUGACAUGGUUCCAUAAUCAUUAGGAUGAUCAUAAACACGAUACUAAAGUACUCUCCUUUCCUUUCAAAUUGGAGAAACUUUUAUCUUUCUGCUCAAUUGAUUCUUCUUAUUCGUUCUGCUAUACUUUGAGACUUUUCAAGGUAUCAAAAUUUCACUUAAUCAUAUAGGCAUAACCACAUUUACUAAACUAUCAAUAAAUCAUGACAAAUAAACUUAUUGUCCUUUGUGGUGGAUCUGACUAGUUCACAUCAAUGUGUACUAGAUCCUUUAGUCCUUCACUUGACUCACAUAUCCAUGUGAAUAAUGAAUUAGUCUCAAUUUAACAAGGAUCAAGAUUCUCAUACACCACACAAUUCAAAUCGCAUGACUCCAAGUUUCUGUCCAAUUAAAAAUUAGGUGAUGAGAAUCCCUCCUUAUUUGGUAAAUUAUGACACUACCACAAGGUAUAUAACUAAGAAUCAAAUCCAUUUUCAACAUUGCUAAUAAUAUAAAUAUAAACACCAAUUUUCAUACAUGCCAUUGCAAGUAACCAUAAAGCAAAUAAGAUAAAACCAAAAUUUUACUUUAUUGAUAAUGUGCGGAAAACUUGUCCUUACAACGCAAAUACAUAUGCAAACUAUGUUUCUCAAUAUUCCUAAGCAAUCUAUCAAAACUCCUAAGUAGCAGCUCAAAAAUCUGAUGAUCGAACUAUGCAACUGAAAUCCAUUUCUCACGAUCAAACUCAGCUUACUCUUCUUUUAAGCUUCCUUCUUUCUCUUCGAUCCUACUAAACAUUAAAAUGUGAUUAUCACAUCAUGUAAUAAGAAUCUAAAAAUAAGAACUUAAUAGAGCUAGAUAGUGGAUGUACCUGAAGUAGGGUCAUACAAUUUGAUUUCACUAUCUCUAAGAUCUCUCAAGUAGUCUGGGCAGCUUCGCUUCUAAUGUCCCUUUAAUCGGCAAUAGAAACAGAUGGAUUCUUUAGCAUCGGUACAUGGAACUAUCUCAGAACUGGCGUUUCUCUUAUGGUCAAAAUUUUUGACCUUGGCCGAUUUCUCUCCCUUGGGAAGGGAAACCAUUUAUGGACUAUCAUCGUUGUUAUUUCCAAUGUCUAUGGAAAUUUGGGAAACUGAUCCUCCAAACAAGUUUUCUUGACCAGUGCGCCAAAACAUUGCUGCUUCAACAACAAUUAGCAAAUAUGUCAGAUCGAUUAGGGUUAAAUCAUGAUCAGUCAUGUACUAGUCCUUUAGGAAUAGCCUAUAUCACUCAGGAAGCGAGUAAAGAACCAAGUCAACAACUAGCUUCCUUGCGAAAACAAUACCCAACAUUCCCAACAUGCCAAUUUGCGACUUCAUCUUCAGGAUGUAUGUACACACAGAACUUCCAUCUCGAUGUCUGCAUGCCAAUAGGGCUUGAGUGACUUUGAACUUUUCAAGUCGAUGAAAAUGUGGGUCAUGGAGAAUCACGGGAGGAGGUGGAGGAAUGGAAGUAUGAUUUCCAGUUCCACUAAUGCAUGAAGAAGGGAACAUUCUUUCACCUCGUUCGACACGUGGAAGAUCAUCUUCAAAAGGAAAACAUUUUCUAAAGGAAUGAGGAAGACCAUAUUUGUCAGAACUACACAACUACAAAAUGGAGAAAAUUCAAGUGAGUUGAUUUAGAUCCUUAAUAUAGCACCCAACUGAAAUAUUAAGGCUAGGACCCAACAAAAUAAUUCACACUUCAGAAGUGGGAUGAUGUAAUCCAAUUUUAAAUUACUUGAAGGUUGGUAAAUGACGAUUUACCAAUUCUGCCACGAAAAUAAAAUUUUAAACAAAUUAGGUUUUAGAUGAAAUUCCUAGAUCUUUUGAGAUUCAUUGAACUUUUCAAUGGCAUGUUUAAUCUCGAUUAUGCUCUCACUUUGUGAUUGGGAUACCGAGGAUCACAAACGAGAUGUGAAAACCAUGCAAAUUAGCUUGGUACUCUCGAUGUCAUUUACCAUCUAAUCAAUGUGCCGGUUAACCACAAACGCUCCAUUGAUCAAUGAUAAUUUACGAGACACUCAUUGCCAACAAUAUUGGUCCCAUAUUAGUGUGUUGGUUAACCACACACACUCCACUAACUGUUGGAUUAAUGUCUAAGUCCAUAACUAUAUUUGGUAUGUACUUGACCCGGUUGUAGCAUGGUCCUUUUGGGUUGCCUUCACCAAAGCAACUUGACUGGAUGAAUAAUAGAGAAAGAGGUUAUUAUGGUUUAUUAAUAUAUUAUAUGAAUAACAUAUUAAAAGAAAAUUCAUAUUUAUUUAAUUAACAUUGUUCAAGAAUUAAUUUAGAAUUAUUUUUGUGGUCAAAAGAGGUUAAUUGAAUUAAGGGGGCUGAACUUGUAAUUAUUGGAUAACUGCAUUGUAGGCUGGGGAAACCCUAAAGAUAGGGAGUGGACGAAAUCCUUAUGGAUAGCCCAUAAGAUUUCGUCCAAGGAGGGAUUCUGGCAUGUUCUUGUGGGCUGCUUAGAGCCUAAGAAACCGGAUGAGGACUUUGACUGAAACCCUAAUUCCUCACAUAUAUAGGGAACCCUUGGCUUCAUAUUUUCGGCUACACUAACCCUAGAGGAUUCCUUGGAGCCGAAAAUUACCUUCUCUCUCUCUCUCUUGCAUUCUCCAAUUGCUUUGGUGUUUGUGAUCUAUUAUAGGCACAACAUUUGAGAUGCUAAGGUUCUCAAAAGAUCAAGAUCUUCAAGCAACAAUCAAGGUAACAUUCUUAUUAGUUUAUUUAUGUUGAUUUUAAGGUUUUGUUAUAUGCUAGAUUAGGGUUUUCAAGUCUUCGACAAUUGUUGCAUGUACAAAUAGAAAAACUAGAUCCAAGCAUUAGGGUUUGCAUGAACACCAUAGGAAUGUUGUUUUGCUCAUAACCCAUCACUAACGACCAAUAAGGUGCAAUGUGCAAUUUAAUGGGUUAGCAUCAAAUUCACAUUUUUCUAAAGUAACUAGGAUUUGGAAUUUGAUAAAAGCGUUUAGUUACUUUGUAAUUCGUUAUACUUUUAUUGAGAUUUUAGUGUCUUAUCCUACCCGUUCGGCUAACGACCCUCCACUAGUCAAGAGUGCGGCAGGUAAGAAUGGACACCUAAUGACGGUCAUUUUACAGGCCGCUUCCUUAAACCCCCUUGUAGACCAGCUUCAUGAAUGAGACAUUCUAACGGUAAGACUGACUUCUCUUAUACAUAUCUAAUAUUAAACUUUUAAUGAUAUAACAGUAUAUGGGUGUAUUUUAAACUUUUAAAAUACUAAGGUUUAAUCUUUCAAUAAAUUAAACUUCUAAUUUAAUCAAAUUUAAACCACACAAGGAUUUAUUAACUGUAUUUUAAUUAAUCUUUUAACUUAAUUAUUAAUACAAUCCAUAAGGAUAUCUUCUAGUGUUUUCCAUUUAAAUUUCCAAAAUUAAUAUUUUAAUUUCAAAUUUAAAUUAUAAAACUAAAAGGGUGUAUUUUAAAACUUUUGAAAAAUAUUAGGUUAAAUUUUAAAUAGGAGAAUAAUCUUAUGAUUAUCCAAAUUUAACCAAAUCCUUUAAUUAUUAUAAGGAUAUCAUAUUACCAUUCAAAAAUUUCGAUUUUAGGUAGUAAAAACGAAAUAAGGCAAUAAUCCUAAUCAAGAUAAGAUCUAAAAAUCGAAAAAAGGGAACAGACGAGUCAACUCAUCGAGUUGGCCAAUGAACUCGUCGAGUUCUUACAUGAACUUGCCGAGUUCUUGGUUCAGACAACAAAAUCGAUUUUGUUUCUGCUUUCGACAAUUCGCUAUCGCAUCAAUUCAAUUGAAAAACAUCCUAAGCUCUGAUACCACUGAUGGGUUUUGAGCAUAUCUACAUUCCUAUGUGAUCAUUCAACCCUAAUUGCUUUGGAUCUAUGUUUUCCACCACUUGAACAUGCAAGUUGAAUACCAAAGCAAUAACCCUAAAACCAGCAUACAAUUUCGAAAAUUAUAUAAAAUUAGGGUUAGAAUAUUACCUUACUUGUUAUGUAGCAAUAACAAGACAAUCUUGAAGAUCCUUGACACUUGAAAGCUUAGUGCUCCAAAUGUUGCACUUCUAAUGGUUCAUAAAUACCCAAUGCAACAAGAUGAGAGGAUAGAGGAGGGAAUACCUUAAGAAUUUCGGCUAGGGUUUCUAUCAAGAAACAUUGGCUGGAAAUCAUAGGUAUAUGGGUCCUUAUAUAACUGUGGGCUGCUAGGGUUUCCAGAGGAAACCCUAAUUUCCUACUUAAGGCUUAAGCAACCCAUGAACCUCUUACCAGUAGGCCUUGGACAGAAUCUAUAGGGCCUCCCUAUAUGAUUUCGUCCACUCCUAAUUAAGGACUCCGUCAGCCCAGUUUUACAACUAUCAAUGAUUUGCAAAACAGUCCAGCCAUUAUAAAUCAGUUCCUUUAAUCCCAAAAUUAGUAUCAAAUUAAUUUCUGAUUAAAUCCUAAUUAAUAAUAUGAUUUCCAAAUAAUAUAUUAAUCUAAUAAUAUAUCAAUAAAAUCAUUUUGAGUGCCAAUUUAUUAUUUCAAAUAAUAAAUUCUACUCUCUUUCUCUCUCUCUCUCUCUCUCUCUCUCUCUCUCUCUCUCUCUCUCUCUGUCUCUCCACUAGUCAUCAUGUCAAGUUGCAUGAGUGAAGGCAACCCAAAGGACCAUGCUACUAUAAAGUACAUACAAAUUAUAGUUAUGGGCUUAGACACCUAAUCCAACAAAUUUCAAUUUAACGUGAUUUCAAAUUCUAAACAACUUGAAUGAUGAUUGAAGUAAAUUUUUUCGUUUUUUGAAACAUAAAUUCAUGAUUACCAAUAAAAGAUAAGUUUUUGUCUGAAUGUAAUCUGAUUCCGUAUGAUUUGUAUCGAAUAUUGAAGAUUUUAGUAGAAAGAAUCUUGAUUUCGUUGUUGUUCUUCGAAGUAAAUUGAUGAUCGGAGCUUAAUGGCGAGCUGGAAGAUAAUGACGUCGUCGUUGUCGGAAGUUAUAAGGUCCAGCGCUAUGUUAGUCGAACAUUAGUAGCCCAUUUUUUUGGACCUAAAUACCCUUAAUGAGCUUGAUUGGCCACGGUUAAUCCUCGCAGUCCUCACCAGACACGGACCUAAACCCACAAAGAAAAUAUAAUAAAUUUUCAAAUAUAAUAAAAAAAACAAUGCAUUUUUAGAGAAUAACAACUAUAAAUUCAAUGCAUAACACAUGUGUUGCUAUUAAUUCUCACAAAAUGAAUAGCACAUGGUUAGAUUCUUUAGAUUCUCUUUCAGAGAUUUCAAUAAACACUUGUUAGACAUUAUCAUCAAACAAGCCAAAAUUUAUGUAAAACAAUUAUCAAUAGUUGAAUAAAGCUUUUUUUAAUAUCAAGAAGCACUACCAAACUUUGUGACAUACAAACAUGUUUUGAAAUAAGUUUUUUUUUUAAAAAAAAAUAUUUUAACCUUAAUGCGUAUUAAUAUAAAGAGUAUGGUAGGGUUACUUGUGAUAAAUUCAAGUAUUCGCUCCUAAUAAUAAGAAUCAAUCCCCUAAUCUAAUAAAUAAGAGUAUUUUUGCCACGUGGCAAUAGCUAAGCACUCUCCCAUCUAACUUUCCCGCUCAAACCAUCUAUGUGAAAUUCCUGCUAUGCCUUGUGUAGUCAAUCCCGCUCAAAUGUCUUCAAUUCCUUUACAAUCCCGAAUUACCAGCACAAAAAAUUGAAUUUAAUGGCAAAAAAUCAGGAAUAAGAUCAUAUCCAAAUUUAACUUAAAUUGCCUACACAACGAUUUUCGCUUAUAUUAUUUACUCUUAUAUGAUCUUCACUUCCAGUCGAUCACCAAUUCUUGAAGGUUAAUCGAUUUAUCCNNNNNNNNNNNNNNNNNNNNNNNNAAUGAAGCUCUUCCCAUUGAUUUAAGGUUCAAUAUCAAACUCUAUCUUCUUCCCCUGUUAUAAGAUGAAUUCAAAUAAAUUAUUUGAACAAGACAUGUGCUGUAAAGUCUGAAAUUAUGCAUGUUUGUUGUUGUUUGUGUGUGUCUGUGUAUGCGUCCAGUUGAUUAUUUCAUAGUGACAUACUUUUUUAUAAUGGUUAAUUAAAAAAAUAAAUUUAAAUGUGAUGUUCUAAUAGAAUGACAUAUCAUUUGAAUGGGGUCGACCAUGCUUUGUUCUACUUUAGGGGGAGGUAGUGAGGGGAUGGAGUAGAUAAUGUUGAAGGGGUUUGUGUAGAUAACAGUGGGUGGAGGGAGGGUGCUUUGAUUGUAGAUUGGUAUGUCUAAAAGUAAAUGAUACGGGGCUAUGAUUGGUGAGGUCGAACUUCAUUCUCUUCAUCUCUUAGUUGUAAUUGUUUGAAAUACACUUUGAUGAGGCAAUCACUCUUUUUUUUUUUUUUUUUUUUUUUUUUUUUUUUUUUUUUUAAGGAACAUUGGUUAUUUGAAUGACUAUUGUAAUAACCAAUGUUGGCCCAAAUUCAUUAAUAUUAUUUGAAUCACUUAUUUGUAAGGAGUUUACAUUGAACCAGAAGUGUUGAUCAUUUAGGUUAUGAGGUAAGAUACUUGAUAUGGAGCACUUAUUAUGGUGCCUCUUGAAUUGAUAUUGACUUUUUUAGUAACUAUAGCCAAAUUGAGCUAUAACAUUAAAACCAAGAAUAAUAUGUUGCUAAUCUUCUAAUGAAAUGAAAUGAGUGGUGAUGGCUACAAAUUAUAGGACAUGGAUUUUUGUUGUUUUUUUUUUUCUGCAAAUAUGUAAUGACAUAGGCUAUUUGUGUAGUUUUACUAAUAAAAGGACUAUUCAUGUAAUGUAAGAAGAUGCCUGACCAUUUCUGUAGUUUUGCAUAAUUACGAACCAUCAUUGAUUUUGACAAUUGUUAAAGUAUAUUACACAUGAACCAGUUCUGUAAUCUGUCUGUAAUUUGUUUAUUAAAGAGGGAUCUAUUAUGUAUUUCUUUCAUUACAGGGGGUCCAUUUUUGUAAUGAAAUAUCAGUUUUUAUGGUUAUUAACUAUCUUUGAGUAGAAGUUCAAAGUUGGUUUGGAAGAUUGAAUUUCUUGCUGUCAAAAUUAGUGGCAGUUGCUAGAUUUAGUCCUUAUAGCCCACAAAUGAAUAUAUUCUCCCAUGAAUGAUUGCAAGCAUCUCCGACUGAGAUAAUUAACAAAUUUGGUCAUAGAGUUGAUUAUUAUAGUAGGUUACAAGGUAUUGCUAACUUUUGUGUCUAUGUAAUUGUUACAUUUCUCUUUUAUUUAUUGGAAUAACUUUUCUCCUCUGCCAUCUUGCUAGAGGUUAUUUUAAUAUAGUUAGCUGCAUUUGAUUGGUCUAAUGAAAAAUGUAAUGUUUCAAGGUUUUCACUUACAAAAUUAUCAUCGAUCAUCAGUGCAUGGUUGCUUAGUUGGAUCAAUUUUUUAUUCCUAUUUCAUUAUUCGGUUUAAUUGAUAUAGAUAUUUUUUAAUUUUCUAAAUUUAGCAUGGUUGCUUCUGUUUAACCAUAUGAUCUUUAUGCUUAUCGUGUGUUAAAUUUAAGCUUCAUUGCAAAGUAACAAAUAUUGAAAUAUAAUCUACGUGCUGUUAUAUUUAAACUACGUUUCAGUAAAGUAUGUUAUUAUAUAUUUUCUACCAUAUGACAAUGUUAAAAAUAUGAUAUUUAAGNAUUAUUAUUAUUAUUAUUAUUAUUAUUAUUAUUAUUAUUAUUAUUAGACAAAAUUACACGAUUGGUCCCUGUGGUUUACCAGAUUUAACACAUUGAGGACAACGAUGGAAAACGAAAUUACUCUUUUACUCCUAAUCCGAUUUUUUUUAUUAAUUUAUAUUUCUCUUUUUGGUUUUAAAUUAAUGUUUUAUUUAUUAGAACAUGUCAACCAAAUACCAUAAAGCCACCCACCAUCUGCCAUCACCACCACCACCACCACCAAAAUUACAUAAAUGGUCCAUAUGGUUUACCCGUGGUAAUAAAUUCAGUCAUUACUACCUGAAAAGACCAAAUUACCCUCACAUUAACAGACAAAACCAACGAUUUAUAUUUUCCAAAUUGGUUUUCCGGCCGCUGUCAUACAUGACAAUAAAGUUCAAUUUGUGAGACCAAUUAUUUAUUUUCUUCAUUUAUUACAAGAAAUAAUGAUUUAAAUUUCCUUACUUACGUAAUUAGAUGACAUUGUUUAUCUUCCUUUACUAGAUUAUCUCAAUACAAUUCAACAUGCUACUUUACUUUACAAAGCAAUAUCUUUCGACCCCGGCAACGCCGGGGAAUCCUUUCUAGUUUUAAUAUAGUUAGCUGCAUUGGAUUGGUCUAAUGACAAUUGUAAUGUUUCAAAGUUGUCACUUACAAAAUUAUCAUCGAUCAUCAGUGCAUGGUUGCUUAGUUGGAUCGAUUUUUUAUUCCUAUUUCAUUAUUCAGUUUAAUUGAUAUAGAUCUUUUUCAAAUUUCUAAAUUUAGCAUGGUUGCUUCUGUUUAACCAUAUGAUCUUUAUGCUUGUCCUGUGUUAAAUUUAAGUAACAAAUUUUGAAAUAUAAUCUACAUGCUAUUAUAUUUAAACUAUGUUUCAGUAAAGUAUGUUAUUAUAAAUUUUCUACCAUAUGACAAUGUUAAAAUAUGAUAUUUAAGCGACAUCUUAUUGUAUAUUUCAAUUAAUGAGUAUGUACAAACUUUAUGUCUCUAUAAGAAUAUUUUUGAUAUUUAGUCGGUAAUUAAAUAAUUAUAUCUACCUCUUCUAAUAAAUGAAACCUAAAAAUGUGUAACACCGUAAAUUUCAAAAUAAUUUUUCACAAAUUAUAAAAAUAUUUCUCAUUUAAUUUUCAUAAAAACAUUAAGUUAAAAUCCCAAUUCACAUCAUACAAAUCCCAAGAUCAUAUAUAUGUAUUAAAAAUCUCAUGCGUGUGUACAGAUCAAGCCGGCGCCUUCCCACGGUCAUCGCUAGUACCUGAAACAAACAACACUAACACUGUAAGCACAAAGCUUAGUGAGUUCCCCAAAAUACCACAUAAACAUAUAUUAGCCACUCGAGGCUAUAACUCUAUGGGUCCGUGCACCCAAGCUCUGUGAACCCUCAGGUUCUAACUCUGGGAACCUUCCGGUUCCAACUCUAUAAACAUGCACAGCAUAAAUCACAUAGACAUCAUGCAGUACAACACAUAGCAUACACAUAACAUACACAUACUCUGACACAUAACUCUGAUUACCUACUCAAGGUAAAGUAUAGUGAGAAGACUCACCUCGGGUAUCUCGAUAACUCGCGAAUCCUGGAAAUCACUCGUGCUCGUUCCUCCGAGCUAUAAUCCUCCUAUAACAUCAUAUAUCUCUUAAUUAACACUUUUACCACUAAGGUUGACUACCCUUAUCAAGUCAACACUGGACAACUCUGGUCAACGGUCAACGGUCAACGUCAACGGUGACCGGACUCGGCGAGUGCACUAGGGCGACUCGGCGAGUCUAGGCGUUUUCACCAACUCUCUAGGAUUCCCUUUUUGACACGUCGAGUAUUCCCCUGACUCGACGAGUUCCACCUGGUAUGAAUCGCGGGGCCACCCCGACUCAACUCGCCGAGUCUCAAGAACAACUCGGCGAGUUCCAGUUCGACUCAAUCCACCUGUCAACCCUCUCUAACUCUCCCUGACUCACUGAGUCAACCCAUAACUCGGCAGGACCACUCACUGAGUGGUUAAGGACAAUCUUCAUGCUACUCGCCGAGUCUGUUCUUCAGACUCGGCGAGUCCAUGCCAUGCAUCAACUCAAACUUGCUUCUGAGGUCAGAUCCGCUCCAACAACUCAUAGAUCUGGCCCUCCUAAGCUUAUUUAUCACGUAAAGUCCACAUCUUGGUGCUCAUAACACACCCCAUGACUCAUAAAUGGUGUUUUGACCUUAAGCACAAAGACCCCAAUCCAAAACCCCCAUGGAUUCAUAAAAAGCUGGGGCAAAGGGACACUCUGGACCUCCAAAGGUCCAGAUCUAGAACCUAACUCGCUUAAGGGACCAAGGAAGCACUAGAUCUAGCCACAAAAGGGCUCAAUAAGCCCUAAAUCAAUAUAAACAUCAACAUAACAGAGAAUAGCUCGAAGGUAGUACCUCAAAUGUGAUGUUCUGGACCUCAAAUCUUCAGGAAGUGGCUCCUCUUGAUUCCCCCCUUAGCUAUUGUUUCCUUUCCCUUGCAAUAUAACACCUCCAAGGUCAAUAAUGGCUCCUUGCUUUGCUCCAAACGCUCAAACUCGCUAGGGUUUCACUCAGGGGUCUAGUGAGCACAAAUGACGGCCUUAAGGCCCUUUAAAUAGGUCCCAAACCCAAGAAAUUAGGGUUUCAUUAAACAGCGCGGACUCGCCGAGUCCAGGCGCGAACCCGCGUCCAGAACCGCGAUCCUACUCGGUGAGUUUGAGCUCCAACUCGCCGAGUCCCCUCACAAAACACCAAAAACAUAAGCAUAAAAGAUACCUGGAAAUCCGGGCUAUUACAAAAUGACACAUGUCAGUUUUUUAGAAUGUCUCUUUGACACGUGAUAUUUUUCUAUAAUUUUUAUUAUGUCCUUUUUUUGUAACAAACCAAAUGAACCGACUCAGCUGAACCAUCCAGGGAACCGAACUUGGUGGAAAAUAGGAACAGAACCGGACCGCCGGUUCUAUCGGUUCCGGUUCCUAUCGGUUCUUGUCAUGUCUUCAAUGUUGGAACUGGUCCUCGAGAAAUAGCAACAUACGGUUUCGGUUUUUGUCGGUUCCACCGGUUUUUGCCGGUUCUAAAAAUCCACAAGAAUAUCGUUGCCGGUCCCGGCCCGACCGGUUCCAUCAGGUUCCAUUUCCGGUACCGGUUCCGGCCAAUUCCCGGUUCAUAUACUCAUCCCUACAAUAAUGAAAGCCAAUAUGUUUUCAUUAUGUUUUCCCGUGCUCAAAUUAUAUAUGCGCUUAUACUUUCGAUAUCUAGAAAAUUAUUGGAGGUUGGAGAAUUUAAAAAAGAUAUUAAAAUAAUAAAGUUAAAACUUGUUUAAAUUGUGUUGAAUACCACAAAAGAACUUAAAUGCAAACAUAAUAUGCACUCAAGAAGGGCUUAAACUACAACGUACUUGGUCAUGUACGAAACUGGAGCAAAAAAAAAAAAGGGUUUAAGGAAUCAAUAUAGAUAUGGUUUGGAAUAAAAAAUGCGCAGUUCAUAUAUAAUCGAAAAUUACAACAAGAGUUAAGCAAUUAAAUCAUGUAAUAUAUGUAAAAUCAAAACCUCUAUGGCUAAUAAUAUGAUGAACUGAGUACGUGAACAGUGAAUCAGAGGAGAACCCAAACAUUCGUUGAUGAUAAUGCUGACUGGCGUAGCCUCGGGACUGUGGAGUUUUGAUGAAUCGAUUUUGUUCUUUAGUUUUUAUUUGUGGAGGGUGAAGAAAGAACGAGAGAAAGAAGAAUCUAUAACGAAAUAUAUAAUUACCUGCAUAAUUUUUUUAAGACCUUUGAUUCCUUGAAAAACGAAGAACUUGGUGGUGUUGUGUAGAUGUGUGUGGUGAUCGGGUGAAACUGGGAAGUAGCCGACUCCUUAAUUUCUUUUUCUUUUGUAGGUGAAGAACAACUAUGGUGAGAUAAAAGAGAAAGAUUAUCUCAACCUAUUUAUUUUGUUUCCUUAAUUGCAAGUGCAAAAACCAAAAGCACACUUAUUGAUUUAAUAAAUUAUUUAACUUUUUUCUAAUUUGUGAUCGGUACAUUCAUACACAUAAUAGUUGUUACAAACAUUUGAAUCUCUCUCUCUCUCUCUNUAUAUAGAGAGAGAGAGAGAGAGAGAGGUGAGUUAUUAUGAGAACUAAAAAAAACGUGUGAACUUGUGAACUCAUAAUCAACUCAUCAUUUUUUAAAAUAAAAAACAACAAUCUUCUAAAAAUGUUACGUCUAAGCCAUAUCUAGGAUAAAAAAAACUGACAAAUUUUUUUAUUUCUUAUCGAAAUUUGCAUGUGUGCAUAACGAGCAGUCGUAUGGACUGCUGAUAACACUAUCAAUAAACAUAUGUACUGCGGAUGCAUACAAUUAGCAGCCAUAAGCAAUGAUGACGAGCAAUCAGCAGUCCACAUGACUGUUAAUUGUGCUCAUUAGCGAUCAAUAUGACUGGUGAUUGUGCUCAUCAACACUCAUAUAAAAAAACCAAAAAAAUAAUCGUCAAAUCUUUUUUUGAGCAUAGAUAUGGCUUAGAUGUAUCAUUUUAAAAAGAUUAUUGUUUUUGGUAUUGAAAAAUGAUGAGUUGAUUAUGAGUUCGUAAAUUUUUACAAAUCAUUUGNNNNNNNNNNNNNNNNNNNNNNNNNNNNNNNNNNNNNNNNNNNNNNNNNNNNNNNNNNNNNNNNNNNNNNNNNNNNNNNNNNNNNNNNNNNNNNNNNNNNNNNNNNNNNNNNNNNNNNNNNNNNNNNNNNNNNNNNNNNNNNNNNNNNNNNNNNNNNNNNNNNNNNNNNNNNNNNNNNNNNNNNNNNNNNNNNNNNNNNNNNNNNNNNNNNNNNNNNNNNNNNNNNNNNNNNNNNNNNNNNNNNNNNNNNNNNNNNNNNNNNNNNNNNNNNNNNNNNNNNNNNNNNNNNNNNNNNNNNNNNNNNNNNNNNNNNNNNNNNNNNNNNNNNNNNNNNNNNNNNNNNNNNNNNNNNNNNNNNNNNNNNNNNNNNNNNNNNNNNNNNNNNNNNNNNNNNNNNNNNNNNNNNNNNNNNNNNNNNNNNNNNNNNNNNNNNNNNNNNNNNNNNNNNNNNNNNNNNNNNNNNNNNNNNNNNNNNNNNNNNNNNNNNNNNNNNNNNNNNNNNNNNNNNNNNNNNNNNNNNNNNNNNNNNNNNNNNNNNNNNNNNNNNNNNNNNNNNNNNNNAUAUAUAUAUAUAAGGUCCGAUUCCGGUGAAGACUCAAAAUAUAGCGAUGAUUGCGAGGACUAUUCUCAAUCACCAAUUUCGUCGAGGUCACAAACGUUAAACCCAAUACUUGGAAAUGAUAUGUUCAAAUGCGACCUACAUCCGUUGUAAUUAAUACGGACUCGAGGUUUUAAUCAUGUGCGACGAACGUCUAUGAAACGUUAUUUAUGCUCGUUUUAAUGUUUUUAAUUAGUUUUUUUUCGAUUUAUUUAUUUAUUGUUUUUAAUUUUUUUUUUCAUUUUUUCUAAUAUUUUUACUAUAUACUUGAAAAACUAGUGUUUUUCUUUAUUUUUGUUUUUAUUUUUUUAUUUUUUGCUUUUUAUUUUUUUACUUUUUUGAUUUUUGAAACUAAAUACCAGUUUGAGUUUUUAAUGUUUAACAAUUAUAAAAUUUUAAAUAAGAAGAAUAUUAUGGAUCAUAAUGUAACAUCCGUGUUCCAAAUAGUUUAUAUUUUGGGCUUGAUUUAUUAAAAGUUUGUAAAAUCAGUCCCUACGUUGGGCGUACGUGAUAGGUACGCCAGACGUAGGUCAUUUAGUGUGAUCGUGGGUUCCUUUGCAUACGUUGGGCGUAUGUAUGGGUACACUGGGUGUACUCAUGCAGAAUGCAAAACCGUAAUUUUUAAGGUUUGGACCCUAUUUAAACACCUUAUGACCUCAAGGCCUCUUUCAUCACCAACCUCCAUCGUUCCAAAGCAUUCCCCUCGAAACCCUAGCCCCCAUUUAUGAGAUUUUGAGCCCUUUGAGUGAUUUGGUGUGUUUUUGGUUCAUAUUGAAGAAGGAGCUCAUUGGAGAAGUAUUGGCUGGUUUGAAGCUUGUAGAUCCAGACCUUGUUCAUCUUGAUCAUCCUUCUAGAGGUAUAAAGUCUCAACCUUGAUAGUUCAUUUCUUAGAUCUAGUUUAGCUUAGGGUUUUGGCAUAUUUUGGUCCGAAUGGUUGAUUCUUGUGAGUAAAAGUACCCCGGAAGCUUAGGUUAGCAUUCCUUGAUGUUUCUGAGGUCCCUAGUGCAUAAAAAUCGUAUCUUGAUGAGUGUUGGUUCACCCAUGCAUGAGUUGUUUUUCUUAUUAUGAAGUUAGAAGGUUAGAAUUUGGUUUUGGGCUUCUUUGAGCCAUGAAAAGUCAUCAAGUUGUCAACUUCUUUAUAUGUAUGUGUCCGUAUAAAUUCGAAUUUGUCUAUGCUUUGACGACGUAUUUUUUUUAUUUAUGUUUCGUACUUAUUUUUAUAUUCGUUCCUACACAUGAAUCAGGUCAUAUGUAGUACGUUUUUGAUAAUUUGAACUUCCGUUCGUUAACUUUAAAAUAAAAUAUUACUUAUUUUUAUGUACGUGUCAGUAUAACAGUUUCUUUAAGUUUUUGUAUUUAUUUUUAUAUACUUUUUCUACGUAUGAAUUUUAUCACAUAUAAUACGUACAUUUCCAUUCGAUGGUAACGGCUUUGUAUAUUUAUCUAUCAAUAAAUGUAACUAUAUCUAAUUUUUACUAAUACAAUUAUUAAAGUUCAACUUAGUUACAAAACGGAUUGACAAUGCCGCAAAACACGGCGGGCAAAAUCAUAGUUUUCAUUAUUUUCAAGAGAUUUAGCACCCACACACCCAAAAAAUAAAAUGUUUUUCAAUCAUUUUCAAAAGAAUUUGAUUUUUCAUCAUUUUAUGAACAGGUCGACUUUUCAUCAUACAAAUAAUAUUCGAACAGUUUCUGGUUUCUCAUCUUAAAAUGGAAACCCAAUGUUGAAACCAAAACCGUGCCUUUCCCAUCGUAUUUGCUAAUGUUUUUACUCAUUGCAUAAUGUUAUUGUAGGUUUAUCAAUCUUCUUUGUUCCUUCUUUGAAACACUCAUCUUAUUAUUCGACUGGUGAACUUCUUGUAAAAUUUUCAUCUAUGUUCCAAAAUUAGAUCAUCUCCACCCUCAAUAUUCAUUCUAGAAUCUACAAGCAAAGUGUUGUUCUUGAGAUCUUUAUAUUGUACAAUCAGCUUCAUGGCUAAACUAACCAUUACAUAAUCCGUUCAAAAAAUUUCAAGCUAAUUUUCCGAUUACUUUCCUUCACACAUGAUCUUUCAAGCUUAUUUACGAUCAUUCAUCAAAAAUGAUUAAAUGCUUCUGAUAAAGGUUUAGUGGUUAUAAGUUUGAAGUUACCAAACUCGUUAAUGGCACUUGUUCUUCUAUUUGAUAUCCCAAAUUUCUUUUGUUGACUUACAGUAUUCAACAUAUUGAAAAUAUCCAGAGGUAUGCCAUAUACUAUAUUCUAUUUCUGAUUCUUCAUUAUUCUUUAGACGUGCUUUAAUUAUUGUCAUUAGUACGUUAAUGAGGUUGUUUCCUGUAUGAUUAUUCAGGAAUGCUUGUUAAUGAUUCUAUCAUACAUUGGAAAAAAAAAAAGAUACAUUUACAUGUUAACUACAUGUUUACUAAUCCUUGGAAAUGUUUACUAAUUUUUGGAAAUGGUUAUCACUCUACAUUGUUUUUCUUUAUUUAUUUAUUAUUAUUUUUACAUUAUAUUAAAUAAUAAACACAAUGAAACAUUAAUAAAAAAACACAUUAAUAAAAAUAAAAACAAUAUUUUUAAAUUCAACAUACAUGCUUACUAAUAAAAUAAAUAUUGAUAAACAUAAAAGUGAUAUUUUUAAAAUUCAACGUAUAUUUUACUAGUAACAUAAAAAUUAAUAAAAAACAUUGAAAAAAAAGCUAUUCGUCUGCAUCGUUGUCCUCAUCGUCCGCGUCCUCAUCCACUUUGUUUUCAUCUUCAAAUUGUCGUUGCCAUAUGUGCUCAGUCAAAUCUUGACGUAAAUUGUGAUGUGUUUCACUAUUCCGUAUUUCCAAAAGCCUUGUAAAGUAUGCAGGGCUGCCGACUUGUAUUACUGCAAGUGGAUUGAGCAUAUCAUUCGGAGUAUAAGUACAAAUAGUCAUACCCUUUUCUUCUAGUAUCAUGUUAUGUAAAAUAACACACGCUUUCAUCACCUUCAUCAUUUUUUCCCUUUCCCAUGCUCGUGCUGGAUAUUUGAUUAUGUGUCACUUUUGUUUGAGGACCCCAAACACCCGCUCCUCAUCCUUCCUUGCAGAUUCAUGUGCUAAUUUGAACAAUUUCUUUUUUUCAUCAGCUGGAUAUAUGUAUGACUUGACAAAUAUAGCGUACUCUGGAUAUAUCUCAUCAGCAAUGUAAUAUCCCUGAUUGUAUUCGCGUCCAUUAAUAACGUAUGGCAUGUUUGGUGUUUUACCCUGCAAAAUAUCGUUAUAUAAUGGAGAUGCUCCAAGCACAUUCAUGUUGUUGUUUAACCCUGCCAUACCAAAAAAUGCAUGCCAAAACCAGAGGUCCUGUGAAACAACUGCUUCUAGUAUAACAGUAGACACACCAUGAUCACUUCGUGUGAAUUUCCCUCUCCAUGCAUUGGGACAAUUUUCCCACACCCAAUGUGUACAAUCAAUGCUACCUAGCAUUCCUGGAAAUCCAUGUUUAGCCUGAUGUGCGACAUACAGCUAUUCGACAUCACUUCUGGUCGGAUUUCGCAAUUAUAUGUCGCCGUAAAGCUCUAUAACAUACUCACAAAAAAAUAUGUGCAUUCUCGACCGGUCCUCACAGACAUCUUCAAAUAUUCAUCUAAAGCGUCUGCUGCUAUGUCGUACGCUAAUUGUCUAAGAGUUGUUAUGCAUUUUUGAAACGUAGUAAACCCACGUUUACCCCUAGCAUCCCAUGUCAAUUGGAAGAACUCAUAAUUGUUUUCCAAAUCUCUAGCUAUACGUAGGAAUAAAUUUCUACUGAUACGAAAGUGAUCCUCAAACUUCGAUAGGUCGUAUAAACUAUCAAGGUUAAAGUAAUCACGUACCAAAAGUUCGUUUGCCGCCUCUCGAUCCCGAUUGAUGGACUUUCUUCGUUUCUUCUCGACAUUUGAAGUUUCGCCUCUCUGACGUAUAAUGUCGUGUGUCGCAGACAACAACGUGUGCAUAACCAACUCAUCAUCAUCGGAAUCUUCAUCAGAUGAAGAAGAAGAAGAAAUGACUUCCAAAAAAGUAUUCAAAUUCUUGUUGUUGAGUGUGAUUUUUUUGUAGUUGUUGUAAAUUAUGUGAUAUGUAUUAUGUUUGUAUAUAUAGGUGAGGUUUUAGUUUUGAAAAGAUUUUUUUUAAUAAAUAUUAACGGUCAAAAUGGACUAAAUGGGAGAAAACGGUCAAAAAACGAGGCAUCCAAUCAAAUUGCGCGUAACCACCUGUGAACCAUGUCACUCCGCGUCACAUUCACCGGGGAGGGGGACGGUGUUCACGCGUAAAUACCCCCCUCCACGUCACCCUUUACGUGUCAAAAAACCCAUCAUACCCGGUGGCCUUAUGAUCGACACCCACCAUUGAUUUUCUAUUAAUGCAUUGUUUUCAAGUUUGAAACUUUUUUUAUUUGACCAACGAAAACUUUAAUUUAAUGCUGAAUGAGUUUUUGGUGUAUAUUAUUCAGAUCUUAUAAUGCUAAUGCAUAAGUUACAAUUAUAAACUACAAAUAAUUAAGUUAACCAAACCAAAAAGAAAGUUAGAAAACCGAAUAUAGCAUAAGUACAAGACACCAAACAAAAUGUUGUUUGAAACUACAAAUAAACUAUAAAAAACAAGACUUCUAAUAACAAUCUGUAAUUAAUUCGAAUUAAAAUAUGUUCAAAAACCACGUACACCCACGUCGACCUCAUGUAGGGUGAGAUGAAACGUCCACCAAUGUAUACCAGUUGUAAUCCUUAGCUAGAAAGAUAAAUGCUGUGUAUAAUAAAUAAAAACUAUUGUCCUUAUUGAGCUCAGCACAUCAUUGUCAUGUUUUCCAUAUUUACUAUGACAUUACAUGUUAGUGUACUUUAUAGUAAGCAAGAUAUGACAGUGUCAUUCGUAAGAAUAUUAAGUUAGAAUCAAACAAAGCAACUUUAACACAAAAUAAGAAAACAAACCCCUACUUUUUUUAUGGGAAUGUUUUAUUAUUAAAACCAAGUUUGUGUUUCCUAGCGGGGUACUUUUGUCUUUGGGAGUGUAACAUUUAUGCCUUACCGGAAAAUGUGGCGAUGUUACUAAACUAGAGAUGUUUGUUGCAAGUAGUUAUCAUUGCAUAUUAUGUCGUUUCCCAUGAAAGAUUAGCUUUCAUUUUUCAAAGUGGAAUAGUAUAAAAGAAUAAUGCAUUUUAUUAUCCUGGAUCAAGAGAUUUUGGUAAAUCUUAUGAAUCAUGAUGGGUAAAUACUAAAUACAUAGUGAUUGAAGAAAUAAACAAAAAAUGAUAGAUAAAUUUGGUGUUUGAGAGUUGUUUGUAUAUCAUUUUGAACGUGUUGAUCCGAUUAUUAUGAAUUCAACUUAUAAUUAGAAUGGCGAUAUUUCAAAUUAAAAUAAAAUAUUUUAAUUAUUUAUGGGUCAAAUGAUUAAUUUGAUACUAUCCAUACCAAAAGUGAUUAUCAAAUUGCAAAGUAAAAUUACUUAUAUAUGAUUAUUUGAUCUAUUAUUAAACAAGUAGAUGUUUCAAGCAUUAAUACGACAGUUAAAAAGUAGUUAUUGCAACUAUAAUUGGAAUUAGUUACAAGUAAAAAUGAAAUAUUUAAUUAGUGUGGGUGCUACCCCAACUAAAAUGGAGGCACAUAAAAUGAAAUCGAUGUGGAAUGCGAUUCUUAAAUCUUGAUCACUAAAGUAAAAGCCAUUCCCUACUCCAUAAAUAGAGACGACAAAAAGAAGUAAUUUAAUUCCCAAAUCCCCAACAACUUCUUAUUUAAUUUUCAACAAAAAUUCGUAAAAUAAAUUAGAACAAUUAUUAUCAUCAUGAUUUAUUUUAUAAAAACAAAUAGAUUUUUUUUAACAACAGCAAACUAUACAUAAAUAAUAAAUAAAAAAGUAAUAUAGUAAGUAGAUAUCUAGUACUAGGAAUCGACACUACCAGAAUUGCAACCACCUUUGUAACUAGAUUCAUCUUCGAGGGCAGAACUGUCCAAACGAGGGGCAGUUUGGGAAAAACAGUUCCGAACUCAAGACAUUUCAUUACAUAGUGCCAAAAUCAGUAUUUUUAAAUGGUGUCAUCACCAAAUCCAUCAGUUUCAUCAGUGGGCAUGAUCAUUUUCGUCAAGGGCAAAAUCGUCCGAUUAAUGGGAGAUUGAGAAUUAUGGUAUCGUUUCGAGUUCCUGACCAAUUUAUGAACACCAUCAUCAUUCAUCAAGGGCAAAAUCGUCCCUCGAAUAAAGCUCACAUGUAAAUGACUUGCAUCGAGGAAAGAAGGACCAUAAAUGAUCCAAGUGCACCUGAGUUUCUUUCUGACUUCAUUUUGUAAGACCUUAAAAAAAUUAUUUAGUGUAUGUAAUCCAUCAAAUACUCCUAAUUUGCUAAGAAUUUCAAGUUAUAGAAAUUUGUUUCUAAGUGCUAUACCUUAGGCAUAAAAGUACAAUUGUGUUUUAAGGCAUUGAGAAUUUGUUUAUUAUGUAUGAUUAUGAAUUGUUUACAAGCAUAUCUAUGUGGUUGAUCCAUCAUCCAAAAAUAAGGUACAUGUAUGACACAUGAAUGUGUAUUUAGUAUAUAUGGAUUUUAAAGUGUUAAGUUCUUAAACAUGGGUAUGGGAAGCAUAUAAUGUUAUUGCAUUGUGUAAGAUAUGAAACAUUUAGCUAAAGAGUUCACAACAUAUUGACUAGUUUUGACAGUUUGGAAAAGUAUAUUAUCUAAAUCGCAAAAAUUAGUAAAAAUGGAGAUUGAGAUGUUGAAAUAUAAUGUUAAUCCUAUAAAAUAAUUAACUAUGUUAUUUAAAGGGUAUUUAGGGGAUUUUCACCGUGCGAUGAUCAAUAAAAUUAAUCAAGGAAAUACUAAAUGUGAUUUAGGUCUUGUUUGUUUACCUCUUAAUUGUAAAAUUAAGAGACAAUGUCUUAAAAAUUCAGAUUCAGAUCUAUUGUUUGCGUCUUAUUUUUUACCUUUUAAAAUGGCUGAGUUUACAUGUGUUUUGCGAUGUGGGAUAGAAUAGCUGGGAAAAUAAAACAAAAGUAAACAAAGAAUAUGUAAAAAGCAUGAAUUGAUCUUGAGACCUUUACUUCAAUAACCUAACACCUUGACCAGCAGACCAACUGUUUAUUUGUAUUUAUAAGUGGAGGGAUGCGUAUAUAUACACUAUACCGAAUUUUUUUUUUUGAGGGAUACGUAAACAAAAAUUACACUACCGAAAAUUUUUUGAGGGGUAUCCCGGGCUACCCCGGGAUCCCCUUGGAUCCGCCCCUGUUUAAAAUUAAAAACACCUCUUAAUUUUUCAGAUACGCAACAAAGUCUGAAUUUUAAAAAAAGAAUGUGAUUCUUGUUUUGCCCUAAACCACACAAUCGAACAUAACCUGCCUCCUCUUCUCUGUUCUGUGCGUCUUCUAAUCCAACGUCUUCUUCCAUUCGCGUCUGCAUAUCUCCGACGACAUUGCCUGAAACAACAUCGCCCACCCCAACGUCGAUGUCACAGCACCCUUGCAACGCCAACGCCGCUGCACCUCUGCAUAUCUCGGAUUGUGCCCUAAACUCAAAAAUCAAAAACCGAAAACAAGUUCGUUCUCUUCUUUUGAAAAUCGAUUGCUCUUCUUUUGUUUCUUCCUUCUUUCCCCCUAAAGUCGAAAAUCAAAAAUCGAAAUCCAUUCUUAUGUUAUGCUUAUCGGUUUCUGAUUUGUUAAAUCGUAAUCUAUAUUUGAUGUUAUGCUCGAUUUUGAUGGUAUACGAUCAAAUUUAAAUGUGUUCAAUGGAUGUGAUGAAAUGUUGAUGUUGAAUUUUUUUUAUGCUUUUUUGAAGUUAAAAAACAAAACCAGCUAUGUGUACAAUCCGACAACUAACACCUUCAAUCUUUCCAAAGAAGAAUGGGAACUAGAAUCGAAGGUGUUUUGUUUACUUAUAAAAAAUAUAUUAUCAUGUUUAAAUAAUAAAAUAUUUUUUCCAGAAAGUCAAACAAACAUGUGGAUUCUUUGAGACGCACGCCACUACCGUACCCCGACCUUUGCACACAAUUGUUUGAAGACGUGACUGCGACAGGCAAUCAUAGUUGUUGGCCAACUUCUACCCUUCCCCGUCCUAGUCAAGAUUCAAGCCACUAUAGUUUGCAUGACUUUGAUGACAUCGAUUGCACUCAACAAGAAACUGUAGGUCUCAGUAAGGAGUCCUCUGCUCAUUAAAAAAACAAAAGACUACAAAUACAACAAAAUGUCAAAAUAAAAGUAAAGAUAAGAGUAAAGAUGCAUCGAAUUCAAGAUUGCUUGAAAUCGGGGAAGAUAUUGCAACAAUUGCUAAGAUAUUUGUGGAAAAACAUGCUUCUUCAAAAUUGGGUGUGUGUAUGGAAAAGUUGGAGAAGUUAGGAUGAGGAAUAUUUGAUCCAAGAUACACUACUGAUGUUGCUCCUUUUGGUGAAGGUGCGGAUAAGAGGCACGUGUGGUUAACCAUUGAUCCAGCUGUUUGUGAGAAUUGGGUCAAGACUAUUGGAGCAUAUUGUGGAAUGUUUCGCUAAGUAGAUGUUUUGAAUGAUUUGAUGGUUUUUGUUGAUAACUAGAUGUUUUGAACACUUCAUGUUUUGGAUAACUAGAUGUUUUCAAUUACUUUAUCUUUGGUUUGAACUAGAUUUUUAUAUGACAAGAAUGACUUGAUGUUUUGGAUUACUUGAUCUUUGUUUUGAACUAUAUUUUUAUAUGACAAAAAUGACUUGAUGUUUUGGAUUACUUGAUCUUUAGUUUGAACUAGAAUUUUAUGACAUGAAUGACUUGAUGUUUUGUAUUACUUGAUGAAUUUUUACGUUAUAUGUUGUUAAUAUAAUUGUUAUGUAUUUUCAAAAUAACAGAUUGCUUAUGGAUUCAGAUGAAGAAAUUGCAUUUUUCAUUUCACUAUGUUGUUAUUGGUUGAAUCUAGCGUCCAAUAGAAUUGGAAGGACAAUUGAUAACGAUUCGAAAAUAAGCGGUCAUCAACAUACACAAGAAUUGUUACAUGGAACUUCUACACAAUGUCAUGAGUUGAUGCAUCUUUCACGUGAAGCGUAUGUACUUUUAUGCAAUCAUUUUAGACGAAACAAUUGGUUGCAAAGUAGUAGGCAUAUAAGCGUUGAAGAAAAGAUGGAUAUGUUCUUGACAACUAUAGCACAUAAUAAACGGUUCAGGAUUGUCAAACAAAGGUUUCAACACUCCACAAAAACUGUUCAUAGAUGCUUUCAUGAGGUGUUAAAUGUAAUGAUGAUUUUUGCAAAAGAAGUUAUAGUGCCAACAAAUUCUAAUGCAAUCGUGAAAUUCCUUAGAGAGACAUCAUAGGCUAAAAGAAAAAUAUUUCCUGGAGCAAUAUUUGCGUUAGAUUGAACUCUUGUACAUACAGUCGUACCUGUUGAUCGGAAGAGGAAAAGGUGAAUGCUUUCAAAAUGUUUUAGGAAUUUGUGAUUUUGAUAUGAUAUUCAUAUUCGUAUGGGUCGGUUGGGAGGGCAUAACACAUGAUUCACGAGUUUUGAAAGAAGUUGCAUUUAACCCGACUUCAAGCUUUUCGUUCCCUCCUCCAGGUUUGUAAUUCUUUUUAAAUUUAUUCUGAAAUACGAUUUUAAAUUUCUAUAUAUAAUACUUCCUUCAUUCAUGUGUAUAGAUAAAUAUUACCUUUGCAAUGCUAUAUACACCAACACUCAUGGAUUUAUGACUCCUUAUCGCAACACGAGGUAUUGGUUAUCCGGUUAUCGAUGGUGACAUGCGUUAACUAAAGAAGAUAAAUUCAAUCAUUCACAUGCGCAACUCAGAAAUGUUAUUGAACGUGCUUACAUUGUUUUGAAGGUGAGAUUCCCAAUCCUAAAGUAAAUGACUCAUUUUCCUUUUCCAGUGCAAGGAGAUAUAGUCGUUGCUUGUUUUGUGGUGGUUGUCGAGGCCAACACAAAUAAUAACCCUAAUUAUUACACACUAAAAUAGUGUAUAGUGGUAAAGGGAUCGAAUCCACGGAGAUUGGUUCAAUUUAUAACUCUAUGAAAAAUCUCUUUGUAAAAACACUUGUAAAAUGACAAUAAAAUAAAUUGGGGGUUUUGGUGUUUUGAAAUACUUGAAACAAACUAGAGUUAACUAUGAUUUAAAUAGACAAAUGCAAAAAAAAGUAAGGGUUUGAUGUAAAAUCAAUAAGGGAGAGAUGGUUGACUUAAAGUUUCCUCACUUUGACUUUUGAUGAACAUAUCAUUAGAAUCCAAUGGUGCAAUACUUUGAUUUAAAUCCUUAAUUUGGCUAUAGUAAUCCAAGGAGCUUGAGAUUACCUAGACUUUUCUUAAUUGUUGAAAUGGCUAGAGAAGCUCAUAACAAUUUCCUUAGUCAAAGUCACUAAUUCCAAAUAGCAUGUAAUUAGUGAAAGUCAACUAGCAUUAAGAACCAAAAAGUCACCAAAUCCAAGAGGGGUCAAAUGCUUUCACCACCAUGUUGGAGGAAAUGUUUUUAUGAUUGUGUGAAGCAAAAACAACACAAAAAUCAUUUGUUGCUUGCUAAUUUGAGGAUCCUUUACUUAAUCAAGAAAUUAGCCAACUAAUCACCACAAACACAUUUAAACUCAUGAACUAAAACAUACAAGUAGUGAUAAGAUGUUAAAACACAAAACAUUCCCAUAAAGAUUUAAGAACNCAAAUAAUAACCCUAAAUAUUACACACUAAAAUAGUGUAUAGUGGUAAAGGGAUCGAAUCCACGGAGAUUGGUUCAAUUUAUAACUCUAUGAAAAAUCUCUUUGUAAAAAUACUUGUAAAAUGACAAUAAAAAUAAAAUGGGGGGUUUUGGUGUUUUGAAAUACUUGAAACAAACUAGAAUUAACUAUGAUUUAAAUAGACAAAUGCAACAAAAAUAAGAGUUUGAUGUAAAAUCAAUAAGGGAGAGAUGGUUGACUUAAAGUUUCCUCACUUUGACUUUUGAUGAACAUAUCAUUAGAAUCCAAUGGUGCAAUACUUUGAUUUAAAUCCUUAAUUUGGCUAUAGUAAUCCAAGGAGCUUGAGAUUACCUAGACUUUUCUUAAUUGUUGAAAUGGCUAGAGAAGCUCAUAACAAUUUCCUUAGUCAAAGUCACUAAUUCCAAAUAGCAUGUAAUUAGUGAAAGUCAACUAGCAUUAAGAACCAAAAAGUCACCAAAUCCAAGAGGAGUCAAAUGCUUUCACCACCAUGUUGGAGGAAAUGUUUUUAUGAUUGUGUGAAGCAAAAACAACACAAAAAUCAUUUGUUGCUUGCUAAUUUGAGGAUCAUUUACUUAAUCAAGAAAUUAGCCAACUAAUCACCACAAACACAUUUAAACUCAUGAAUAAAAACAUACUAGUAGUGAUAAUAUGAUAAAACAAAAAACAUUUACAUAAAGAUUUAAGAAUAAGUUCAUGGAUUCUUCAACAUUCAACAAAAGUUCAAAGGAUUCAACAAAAAGUCAACCAAGAUUAGUUUAGCCAAGCAUGGCUAAACUCAAAGAAACAAAGUUAGUUAAGAUUGUACCAAAAAUUUGACAAGAAUCAAGAGAUGAAAAGAAGAUAUUCUUCAAGUGUUCUUGGCCUCCAAAAGUGCUCCAAACUCCAGAGAGAAAGUAUAAAAAUUGGACCUCAAGAUCAGGCUAAAGAGGCACACCCACCUUCCCAAUAUAGAUCUCUUAGCAAAAUCCCAAAAUUGCCCUUGUCAGGAAUCCACGCGGGCCGCGGGGAAUCUUACGCGGGCCACGGACUCUGACGGGUAUUUUGGGCUUCUUCAAGUCUUGGGCCCUCACAGCUAAUCCAUUGGCCCAGUUCGAGUCCAAUCAGCUUCUAGCCCAUUUUUUUCAAUAUUUCUUCAAUUUGAGCCCAAUUUGUCUUUCCACAUCACUCAAAACUUCCACAAACUCCUAAACAUCGAUCUUGCACACUCAAGAAUUUUCCCGUGCCUUUCAAAUUUAAAGUUCAACACUUCCAAGCCUUCAAGCAAUUGACAAGUCCACUCCAUGAAUCACCUCCAUAGCCAUCAAGCAUGAAAUCCCCAUUGCUCUUCAAGUCCAAUCUCCUCCCAAGAGUCCCGCUCAGCUAGUCUCCAAGAAAAUCUGCAAUAAUGCUCAAGAAACUAGAAAGUACCCGAAAUGGUCAUAAAAAUAACAAAAGGGAAAAUAUGCAUGGAAAUUAACUAAAAUGCAAAUGAAAUGUGCUAAAAAACUAUAAAAAGAAGUAAAUAAAAUGAAACUAUCAAAUCACCCCAAGCUUAAACCUUACUUGUCCUCAAGUAAGACAAGACUAAAAUGAACUCGGGAUGAAGUAUCCUAAGGAAAACAAAAAGAAUGGAUAGAACCGCGGAACCUGAUCACCGUUAGUCAACAUGGUCAGAAUUGAUCUUGCUAUUACCUCAUGAAUUUUUCAUCCGAUGACAAUGGGACCAUAAACCACAGCCAGGACAACUCCUUUAGGUGAGUAAGGAGGGAUGAGUAGUCGCAUCUCCAUUGGAACAUGCAUAUAAUGAAGAACAUCUGUAGUACGGAGAAAGCAGUUGGAUGGGAUCGUGUGGAGCUCUUCUUUAAGUGUACACUUUGAUCUCACGUCUGCCGGUUUCUAUCAUGCGUAAUUGGGUUUAAUCGCUCGGGCACCGUUAUAGGAAUCAGUUCACUUAGUGUUGGCCCAAACCUCCCGUAGUAUCCGACUCGACAGUCUCCCUAACAUCACCAAUUUGUGAGAAAAAACAACUCGAUCUAUAUACAAUAAAACAGACCUGUACAAAUGAAUAUCAAACACCGGGUGACCAAGAUGUUGGAAAAUUUGUUCAAUAAUUGAACCGGCCACCUAUCUAAGAUAGUUGCAACUGAAAAUUUGCAUGCUUCUUUUUGCUUUUUUUUUGAAUUCUUUUUUUUAAACACAUGAAGUUAAUGUAUUAACAAUCGAAAUUUUUAACAAGAAAACCCUUUGACUCAAAAUUUGGUUCCCAAAGGUGUGUAAGUGGAACUGAAAGGGUAAUGAUAUAAUGCGAAUGAUCUAAGUGUGAAAAUGACCAUGUGUGGAGCAUAAAGAUGUAAUGUAAGCUCCUUUUCAAACUUGUGGUUUUUCAAAGAUAAUGAAAAUGUCCAAAUGUGGACUAAAAGACUCUCUAAAAUUCUAAGAAAAUCGCAAAAAGAUAUGGUGAUGUAAAGAGACCGGAUAUGGAUUCUACUCGGGGACAAGCACCAAUGCUUCAUCCUAACAGUUCAAACAUGAUCAAGUGUGAUCCUCUCAGCAGUAGUGACCGCAAGGCUAAGAACAUCCAUUGCUAUAGUAUAUCCUACAGUUGUUAGUAUUGUAUGCAUAAUUCUUCAUGAAACUACCUGGCCAUGAUCACUUACCCCUUUAAGCUACUAGCAUCUGAUCCCAAGUAUGAAAUCCCAAACUGCAGCUAGUGGUCCCGGUUCGAUGGGUGAGGUAGCAACAAGAUCCUGGACCAAUAAUGAUACAAUAAUUGUGAACCUGUUCCAUGGCAUCCAAGAGAGGUGAGAAUAAACAGACAACAAAAAUGCAAGAAUGCUAAUGCCUUAAGCUAAAUGUUAUGCAAAAAUAAAAAGUGGAAAAGAAGAAAAUAAAAUCUUUUUUGAAAUUUUAUAAAAAAAAUUGAAUACAAAUUAACUUAAACUAAUAUGAUAUGCAACCUAACAAAAAAAUGCAUGAAAAAAUAAAAGAAAGGGAAAUGCCCCACCCCAAGCUUAAGAACAAGCAUUGUCCUCAAUGAUUAAGGAAAUGGCGGAAAUGACCAUAAUCGGAGGGUUGGGUAGAGCAUAAGGGUUUGUAGAGGAGGAAAAAUGGUGAAUAAUGGUGGUGGUCUCGCGGGAUUCUGACCGGUAGAUCUCUGGGAAAUCGAGUUUUUGUCUGGAGCGCGGGCGGGGAGCGGGCCGCGUGUAACAUUCUUGGUUUCCUCUUGAGUUCACAAAAGGUUCAGAAGAAUUUUGGGUCAAAACACGCGGGCCGUGUAAAGGCCGCGUGAACUGAAGCUCAAAAAAUACUAAGUGUUGAAACCAGCCCCGCGGGCCGCGUGGAACCCGCAUGCUGGUCGCGUGAGCUGAACAGGGCUAGAGGUGAUUGUUUUACGCGGGCAAGGAAUGGGCCGCAUAUAAGCCGCACACGACCUUACGCGGGCCGUGUGACUUCCUGCACCUUAAAAUUUGAAAUUUUUCUAAAAACUUAUUUUUGGCCAAAACGAUUCUCGUAAAGUCCCGUUUUCAAAAACACAACAAAAAGUUUGGACCAAAGGUGAGAAUAAAGCUUGAAAUUUUUCAAAAAUGAACAUUUUCAAAACAAAAAAAAAAUCAAAAUCAUUUUAUUCGUUUUAUAAAAGACGAAAGCACAAUGCUUCCCAAAAAUGUCCUUCUUUAACGUCUUUGGCGAGACGCCUCCAAACUUCACUUUAACACUUUGGGGCAUCCAAAUGGAUGACAUCUUGGACAUUUGAAUCAAAACCUUCAUACAAAGGUUUCAACCGAUGUCCAUUAACAUUGAAAAUUUGCCCCGUGUCGACAUUUUUUAGUUUCCACACCUCCAUUGGGACUCUUUUCUUGUAUUUAACUUUCUUUUUACGGGAGAACCAUACCGGACUUAGACCUUUGAUAAUAGCAAUCACCCAACCAUAUUCUUCCAUGUACCUUUUCAGUAAGGUGACCAACUCUUCCCUCUUUGACAUGGUGGUCGAGCUGGUGACCGGUUAGGUCUCCUCCUUCUCGGGAUAUGUAUCAUUUAAAGGGUCCGAUAGAUUCAUCGUUCCUGGCUCUUGUGGUUCAUCUACCACUGGAGUUAGUUUCUCAAUGGUAGUGGUGGCUCAACCUCUCUUUUGUUAACACCGAACACUUCCUCUAUAGUUUCAUUGACAUCUUUCUCAAUUUUUUCUUCCUCCUUGAUAGCCUCUUCCAUUUCUACGCCUUCUUCCUCUUCUCCAUAUAACACUCUUGGGCCAUCAAAACUUUUCUCAUCUUUCAAAGGAAUGGCACAUGGGCUCUCUUUAGAUGGUAGUUUGUCUUGAUCUUCCAUUAUACUUAUUGUUUGAGAAAGUUGUGUUAUUUGUUUCUCUAAGCUUUUGAGGCUAGCUUGCGUUGUUUCCUGGAAAUUUUGGGUAGAUGUGGCAAUGCUCUUCACAAUGUCCUCUAAGGACAUGCUUGGCAUUUAAGGUUGUUGAGAAGGUGAAGGAUAUGGAUGUUGGAACUGUGGAGGUUGUUGAUAUUGGUCACUUCUCCAACCUUGGUAUGAGCUUUGGUAUUGGUUGUAUCCCCAAGCUUGGUUGUUGUCCCACCAUUGAUCAUGUUGAGGUUGAUCAUAACUCCAUUGGUUUGACCAGUAGUAGCUUCCCUUCUCUUGCACUUCUUCCCAUUCUCCUUGUAAAUAUGGACACAUGUCGGAUUGAUGUCCAUUAUGGGCAUAAAAAUCACAAAGAAGAGGCGUGGGCUGCACACUUUGGUCACUUUCAAUCAUCAUAACUAACUGAGCUAGAUCAGAAAGUUUAUCUUCAAUGCUAGGAGUGUUCAUUCCCGAACCACACUUUUUUCUUCAAAUUUUGAGUUUUAAACUAAAGUACAUGCACAAUGAGAUCUAGGCAUAUAGAAACAAACUGAUUAAAUCAAAACCAAUCCCCGGCAACGGCGCCAAAAAUUUGGUGGUUGUCGAGGCCAACACAAAUAAUAACCCUAAAUAUUACACACUAAAAUAGUGUAUAGUGGUAAAGGGAUCGAAUCCACGGAGAUUGGUUCAAUUUAUAACUCUAUGAAAAAUCUCUUUGUAAAAAUACUUGUAAAAUGACAAUAAAAAUAAAAUGGGGGGUUUUGGUGUUUUGAAAUACUUGAAACAAACUAGAAUUAACUAUGAUUUAAAUAGACAAAUGCAACAAAAAUAAGAGUUUGAUGUAAAAUCAAUAAGGGAGAGAUGGUUGACUUAAAGUUUCCUCACUUUGACUUUUGAUGAACAUAUCAUUAGAAUCCAAUGGUGCAAUACUUUGAUUUAAAUCCUUAAUUUGGCUAUAGUAAUCCAAGGAGCUUGAGAUUACCUAGACUUUUCUUAAUUGUUGAAAUGGCUAGAGAAGCUCAUAACAAUUUCCUUAGUCAAAGUCACUAAUUCCAAAUAGCAUGUAAUUAGUGAAAGUCAACUAGCAUUAAGAACCAAAAAGUCACCAAAUCCAAGAGGGGUCAAAUGCUUUCACCACCAUGUUGGAGGAAAUGUUUUUAUGAUUGUGUGAAGCAAAAACAACACAAAAAUCAUUUGUUGCUUGCUAAUUUGAGGAUCAUUUACUUAAUCAAGAAAUUAGCCAACUAAUCACCACAAACACAUUUAAACUCAUGAAUAAAAACAUACUAGUAGUGAUAAUAUGAUAAAACAAAAAACAUUUACAUAAAGAUUUAAGAAUAAGUUCAUGGAUUCUUCAACAUUCAACAAAAGUUCAAAGGAUUCAACAAAAAGUCAACCAAGAUUAGUUUAGCCAAGCAUGGCUAAACUCAAAGAAACAAAGUUAGUUAAGAUUGUACCAAAAAUUUGACAAGAAUCAAGAGAUGAAAAGAAGAUAUUCUUCAAGUGUUCUUGGCCUCCAAAAGUGCUCCAAACUCCAGAGAGAAAGUAUAAAAAUUGGACCUCCAAGAUCAGGCUAAAGAGGCACACCCACCUUCCCAAUAUAGAUCUCUUAGCAAAAUCCCGAAAUUGCCCUUGUCAGGAAUCCACGCGGGCCGCGGGGAAUCUUACGCGGGCCACGGACUCUGACGGGUAUUUUGGGCUUCUUCAAGUCUUGGGCCCUCACAGCUAAUCCAUUGGCCCAGUUCGAGUCCAAUCAGCUUCUAGCCCAUUUUUUUCAAUAUUUCUUCAAUUUGAGCCCAAUUUGUCUUUCCACAUCACUCAAAACUUCCACAAACUCCUAAACAUCGAUCUUGCACACUCAAGAAUUUUCCCGUGCCUUUCAAAUUUAAAGUUCAACACUUACAAGCCUUCAAGCAAUUGACAAGUCCACUCCAUGAAUCACCUCCAUAGCCAUCAAGCAUGAAAUCCCCAUUGCUCUUCAAGUCCAAUCUCCUCCCAAGAGUCCCGCUCAGCUAGUCUCCAAGAAAAUCUGCAAUAAUGCUCAAGAAACUAGAAAGUACCCGAAAUGGUCAUAAAAAUAACAAAAGGGAAAAUAUGCAUGGAAAUUAACUAAAAUGCAAAUGAAAUGUGCUAAAAAAACUAUAAAAAGAAGUAAAUAAAAUGAAACUAUCAUUUUGCAGUCCAUAAUUUCAUAAGGAAAUGUAAUAUUCAUGAUGAGUUAUUUAUGACGUUCGAGGAGAACAAUGGUCAAGCACAACGGGGAGAGAAUGAUGGCCAAAACAACAAGAUAUGGAAUAUGGUUCACAAGGCAAUGAAUACAUGGAUAAUUUGUGUGACCAGAUUACGAAUCAAUUGGGUUCAAAUUAAAUUUGUAGGAUUUUAUUUGGAUUUUAGUAUGAUUUUGUGGAUUUGAAAAUAUUUAUGUUUGAUUUGGAUUUGAGUUUAAUUUUGAUUUAUGCUAGAUUUGGAUUUUAUAUGGUGUUUAUAUUUUUUUAUACUAAUUUAAGAAAUUUAUUAGGUUAUUUUCUAAACAAACAGUUGAAUUCAAUAAAAAAUAAAACAGAAGGGUAAAAUGGUUAUUUUAAUAAUUCAACACAACAAUUCAGAGGACCCAACCAAACAUCAUGUUAAACAUUCAGCUCUUAAAAUUUCAGACCCUCUUAGAAAUUCAGAUCUUAAAAAUUCAAAUCCUGCCAAACAACCAUCUUAGAGAAACAAAGAGAAAUAAGUUUUUGGCUGUAGAUGGGUUGGAAGGCCACACAACGUUGAAGUUGAGGUCCAUUUGGUGUUAGUAUCUUGUUUGGGCCGAAAAAGGCUCAUUGAAAUAUCAUGAGAUCGUACAAAAAAAAGCUUGAGACUGGUUUCAAGAAAGACGAAAUAGAUAGAUAGAUACCAAAAUGAUAAAUUAAGAUUUAUUAAAAAUGAUAAAUGUAACACCCAUAAAAAUCAUGCCAAAUUUAAACUUUUAAAAACAUUUCAAAACCAUUAAUCAUUACAAAACUUGUUUUCAAAAUAGUAUAAUAUCAGAGUAUCCCAGAAACAAAGUCAUAAACAUGAGGAGCUGUAUGAUCACGCCUUUGCCUUCCCGCGAUCAUCUGAUGAACCUGAAACAAAAUUGAAACUGUAAGCCCAAAGCUUAGUGAGUUCCCCAAAAAUACUGAUACAUAACAAGCAGUACAUAUAAUAACAACGUGUAAUGGGUCCACCACUCUACAGACUGGAUUACCCCCUAGGCCCACAGUGUGAGUCUGGCUUGCCUUCCGAGCCCACAGCUUACAUCUGGCUUGCCUCCGAGCCCAUAGCAUAAGUUUGGUUUGCUUUCGAGCCCACGACUUAUGACUGGUUUGCCCCCCUUCAAUCCUAAGACUAAAAUAUAACUGAUUAGCCCUCAGUGCGAGUCUGGCAUGCUCCCCUGGCCCUCAGCUCGCAACUGGAAUGCUCCAAUACACUCAAGCCCUCAGUACGAGUCUACCACUUAGUCCUCAGCUCGUAUCUGGUAUGCUAAUGAUUCCUCAGUAUGUGUCUCGUAUGCCUUCUCGUCCCUCAGCUCAUAUCUGGCAUACUCCAGGGUUUGUUGGUCACCGCACGAAGCAGUGCAACCUCAACCCUACCCAAACAACAUGUCUACAUAUACAACUAAUUGCACAUACAGAUAAUCAAACAGUAACACAGGUAGUUCUACAUAUCUACCUAACUGGCAUAGCAAACUAGCAUGUAUAACUAUCUCAUACUCAACACAUCAUCAACUACUGGAAUAUCAAAUCCAACGGGUCGGCCUUGGUACCUUAGACCCCUUAGUAUAGUGAGGAUAACUCACCUCUCAACUUUCGAAUCGAAGUGAUAAACUCAAACUCUCGAACCACGGCCACGAACUCCACCACAUAUAUUUACCAUAAGACCAUUUCCAUAAAUUUCCAAUUUACCAAAAUACCGCAAAAGUCAACUAGUCAACCCUUGGUCAAAGUCCCAGUCAAUGGUCAAGGUCAACAGUCCAUGUUGACCCGACUCGUCGAGUGCAGUUCACCGACUUGUCGAGUCCUUCCUGAACUCGAGAAGUCGUGAAAUCCCUCGUUGACUCGUCGAGCUUCACUGCAACUCGCCGAGUUCAUGCAUGUUCAAAAGUCGGGAAAACCCUAGCUGACUCGCCAAGUCCAUGCAGAAAUCCUUACACGACAAUCUUCAUCGGACUCGACGAGUUGGCCAUGAAACUCGUCGAGUCCUUUCUCCAUCCAGACGAUUUUUAAGCCACUUUAAAGCUCCAUAAUGCAGAUCCAAGCUCCUAAGGCAUACUUCUUACGUAAAGUUGUAAACUUUACAUACAUGCAAGGUGAUAAUGGCCCAAAUCAAGCUAAAGAAAGGUUCUAAGGGAUGAAGAAGGUAUUAACUCACUAAAGGCUGAAACUUUAUGAUAUUGCAGACCAAGAUAAGCCUAGAUCUGAAGUUGCAACUUUAGAUCACGCCUAAUACCCAAAAUAACAUAUCAACAUGGCCAAAGUGGCCUUAAUCUCAUACAUGCAUAGAUCUAGAUAGAAAAAGGUCAAGGUAAUAAAUCGUUACCUUAAAAACGAUGCUAAGAUGAAGAAGAAAUCGGAUCUACAGCCUUCCUCUUGUUCCAAGCUUGAGUACUUUAAGAUCUCCCUUCCACAAUCCACCACAAGGCUUAAUAUCACACAACAAGAGAGAAAAACGACGAUUUAGGGUUUCUGGACUCACAAGGGGCUGUGAGUGGGGCUAAGGGAGGCUAAUGACCCUUUAAAUAGAGUGUAAAACCCCGAAAAUUAGAGUUUCAUCCUCCAGCUCCAACUCGUCAAGUCGCUCCUCCGAGUCAGUGAGUUGGCCACUUAAACACAGGGCCGAAAACGUUCCUACUCGACGAGUCAGGGCAUCCAACUCGUCGAGUAAACCUUCCAAUAUGAAAAUAAAGUUGUAAAAUUAAUACAUGAGGGUCAGGGUGUUACAAUAAAAUUUAAUUUUAAUUGAAAAAAAAUGAAAGACAUAGUUUGAUUAAAAAUUAUGUAGUUAACGAAAAAAUAAUUUGUCAAGGAUGACUAUCUUUGACCGUUCAAAAAUGACGAAAAAUAUGCAUAAGUUUAAAAUUGCUGAAAAAAUAACAAUAACAACUCUUUUUUGGGCAUUCUAUUUCAACCAAUACUAAUUCAAUUAAGAUGGUUCCAAAGUCUAACCAACACAAAUGAGAACAUACAUAGAAAAUUCAGUUCAUCCUGAACUCGGAUGAGAGAGAGAGAGAGAGAGAGAGAGAGAGAGAGAGAGAGAGAGAGCAUUGUACACAUUAUCAAAUUUCCCCUAACUCAACAGUAACGAAACCAAAAGUACUGAGAAUACCAUUCGUUAGAAAAGAUGAUACUUGUAUAUAUAUAACUAGAAAUUAAUAUUCAAUAACUUCAAAAAAUAAUUAUAAAAAUGCAAACANUUGUUUCUUAUGAAUAGUGAACUUCCAUAAUUUUUGUCUAUUUUAGUCACUGGACUUUAUGUUGUUUUUUUGGCAGAAUUGGUCCCUGUACUUUGGCAACUUUGGUCCUCAUUUUUUAGCCAUUUUGACACUUUUGGUCAUUGUAAUCAAUAUUUUUAUAUUUUUUAGGAACCUUUUAAUAUUUAAAGUUUGGCCACAAAAUUUUAACGGUUUGACAACUUUGAUCCCUUUUCUAUUUAGGAACCUUUUAAUAUUAAAAGUUUGGCCACAAAACUUUAACGAUUUGACAACUUUGGUCCUCAUUUUUUAGCCAUUUUAACACUUUUGGUUCUUGUAAUCGAUAUUUUUACAUUUUUAGGAACCUUUUAAUAUUUAAAGUUUGGCCACAAAACUUUAACGGUUUGACAACUUUGAUCCCUAUUUUAUUUAGGAAUCUUUUAAUAUUUAAAGUUUGGCCACAAAAAUUUAACGGUUUGACAACUUUGGUCCUCAUUUUUUAGCCAUUUUGACACUUUUGGUCCUUAUAAUCGAUAUUUUUACGUUUUUAGGAACCUUUUAAUAUUUAAAGUUUGGCCACAAAACUUUAAUGGUUUGACAACUUUGAUCCCUUUUCUAUUUAGGAACCUUUUAAUAUUUAAAGUCUGGCCACAAAACUUUAACGGUUCGACAACUUUGAUCUCUUUUCUAAAAACUUGUUAAUUCCUACCGCUUUAAUUGUUUAGCCAUUUUCACACUUCUGGUCCUUGCAGUCAAAACUUUUAUAUUUUUUCAUAAAAACAUGAACAAGACGGUCUGGGGCAAAGCCCGAGCUUGUCAUCCUUGCACUUUCUACGUCUGUCAUAUUUAUCGAUUCGAAAACAACAUUGAAAGCUUCUGGCCCCCGCGUAGCGGGGGUAACCUUUCUAGUUAUUAUUAUUAUUAUUAUUUUAAAUCGUUUUGAACAAUGUUGUUUUUAGAAUUUUUAGAAGUUGAGUCAUGGUUGUUGAUAAAAUCAAUAUCUAAUUGAGUUAGAUCAAGCCUCUACCCAUUAAAAAGUGUAUCUUGGUUAUUAGACCGAAUAAAAAACUUUAAAUUGUGACAUCAAACAAUCUGAAUAUGAUCAAAAACUUCAAAUUGUGAUAUCAAACAAUAAACAAUCUGAAUAUGAUCCGAAUAUGAUCCAACAUCUAAUCAAACCCAAUAGAAAACAUAUCAAUAAGUCUAAUAUGACUUUAAAUCUGAUAUGAAUUUGACCCAACAUCUAAUUAGAUCUAAUAAAAAACAUAUCAAUCAUUAAUUAAACUUAUAGGAGUCAUAUCAGUUAGUCUUUUUAACUAUAAAUCUUACAUGAGUUCAUCACUCUAUACACUUUGAUAUACUUUUUGUUAGUUGUAUCUUGAUACAGAUUUUUUUUUUUUGUAUUAUUGGAAAGUAAAGUUUACAUAUGUUAUUUUCUUGAAAUAGGAAAAUAAUUUACCAUAUUUUAAAGUUAAAUAAAUAACAAUGUAUAUUUUGCUUAUUAAACACAAAAAUAAUUGACUAUUUAAUUAUUGCAAUAUAAGAAAAAAAAAAUCCAAACACUACAUUUUGCAGACUAAUUUAUGAAGCUUAAAUAUGUAAUUCUUAUUAUUUUAUUAAAAAUUAAAAAAAUUUCAACAUUUACAAAUCCACAUGCCGGAGAUAACCGAGUUCACCACCGUGUGGAGGUUUGAAUAAAAGUCAAAGUCGAUUCAUCUGGAACCAUCUACUCUUUCUUACGUCAGCAUUUACGUAUCCAUACUUCUCCCUUCAUCAAGCCACAUACUUCUUCCUCCUUCCACCAUAUUCACACACAUAAAUACAAAAACACAUCGUAAAUUUAGCAAUCUACGAUUUUCCUUACAAUUCGCAGUUUUCAUCGUGAUUGGUACACCCAUUAGAGGUAAAUUCUCUCGAAUUUUCAAUCUGAGCUCGAUCUUUUUCAGUUUGAUUUAUCUGUCUUGAAGAAAACAUGAUUCUUACGCCUUCCAUAGAUAUACAUAUGUCUCCUUUUAAGAUUUUGAUCAAUUUAGAUACAUGGGUAUCCUUUCUAAGUAAUUUAUCCAAAAUCUUUUCUUUUCCUCGCGUUUUUCGUCUUAUAUAUGGUCGAAUUCGGUUUUUUCCUUCUUAUUACCCCUUGAAUUGCUUCCGAAUUUUAUAAUCCUGUUGAUUAAUGCUCUGGGUACUGUGUGGUUUGAUGCUUUUACGAUGAUCGAAGCCUUAGUUUUGUAGUCGAUCAAUAUAUGAAGUUGAGAUUGAAUAUUAGUCUCUUUCAAUGCAAUUUCAAGCCCUAAGAUAUAAUUUUGACAUGGAUAAAACGUCGAGAUCAAUGAAGAUGCUACUUAGUAAUAGCCACCUACUUCUUGUUGGUAAUUUAGGGUUCCGAUUCAAGUUUCUGGUUAGUCAUAGUAAUACUCACCUACUUCUUUCAGGAACUAAAAAUGGAGCGCGAAAGAAAUACCAAUGAUAUAUCGGUUACAUGGAGGGGGAAGAAUUAUGUCGCGACUAUGAAUUUAGAUGCCACUCUCGAAGAAUUAGGGCACGAAUUACAGAAAUUGACAGCAGUGAAACCAGAUACUUUGAAGCUCAUUGUUCAAUCCCAUAAAUCAUCAAAACUGUUAUCCCCAUUUUCCGAUCAACACUCUCACCUCACUUUACAAGAAACAUCCAUUCUUGAGGUGCCAAAUCUUUCUAUUGUGUAUUCUCCUAAUACUAAAACAAAAUGUACAUACCCUUGUUCUUAAUCACCUACUUUAUACUUAUAGGGCAAACCUAUACGGAUGAUGGGAGUGCCAAAAGAAGAGAUCGAUCAAGUUCUAGAAAGUUCUAGAACAGACAUGAGGAUAGCUGGAUUUGAUGAAGAAGAGAAGCGAAUGAGGCAAAGAAUGUCAAACGGGUUUGAUUCCCCAUUGAAGCUUCCUCAAGGAAGUUAUAUUUUUGGUGAUUUUAAAACACUUGAUCUUCCAGGAAUCAAGGUAUUUAAUGAUUUAUGCAUUCAUUUCAUCAUAUACUUUCAUCUAGUUUUAAUCAAAAUUGACAUGAUUAUAUCAAUUAUUACAUAUGUUUUAUAGCUAAAUCCUCCACCUUCAGAAGCACUCAGACUAAUGCACACACUUGCUGCAGAUCGAGGAAUUGUAGCUGUCAUGAAUAAGGUAUUGUAUAGUUUUAUAUUUUUAUAAACACUUUUUAUAAUCUAUAAUCUUAUAUCUUAUUUGUUUAUUAAAAAAAAAGCAUAAAUGGCGUGUGGGAAUCAUGACUGAAAUGGCUCCAGAGGGUUAUGUUGGUGUAAGCCCAGUAUGCAUCCUUGGUCUUAACAAGGUAAAACUCACCACCAAUUUUAUAAAAAAAAAACAAAAUAUAAAAAUCAGUUUCUUACUUUUUUUUUUUUAUCUUUAUUACUUUUUUCUUCAGAAUAAAGGUGAGGAGAUAUCUUUGCGCCUUAGAACUGAUGACCUGAAGGGAUUCAGAAAAUACCAAAGCAUUAAAAAGACUCUUUUACAUGAACUUGUAAGCAUCUUUAUCAAUUCAAGCUUCCAUUUUUUAUAAAAGGGUGCUUUCUUUUUUACUAAAAAACUCUUCUUUCUUUCAGGCUCAUAUGGUUUUCUCUGAACAUGAUGCUAAAUUCUAUGCUCUUGAUAAACAGGUAACAACAAAAAAAAAAAAUCAAACUUUGAAUCAAAAUUCAAAACCCUUUUUGCUAAUCUUGUUUCACUAUGAACAGCUCAACCUUGAGGCCAAUUCUCUAGACUGGACAAGAUCCACGGGUCACACCUUAAGUGGGUCCCACACAAAUCAACAAUAUGAACCAAAUUUCCAUGUUGAAAAUCAUAAAUUUUCCCAUAAACUUGGAGGAAACUCAUCAAACAGUUCAUUAGCAAGUGCUCGAGCAUCAUCAGUUGCUGCUGCUUAUAAUCGUUUAGUAAUCACAUCCAUCAAUCCAUCUGAAUCCCAUCAAGAACCAGAUCCUGAUGAUUCUAUGGAACUUAUUGAGCAAAAUUACGAACCUGACCCUGAUGCUUCUAUUGAUAUCAUUGAACAAAAUUAUGAACCUGACCCUGAUGCUUCUAUUGAUAUCAUUGAACAAAAUUACGAACCUGACCCUGAUGCUUCUAUUGCUAUCAUUGAACAAAAUUACGAACCUGACCCUGAUGAAAAUGAAGUGGUUCAAAAACAAGAACCUGAUCCAGAUGAUAGUGUAAAUGAACCUAUGGAGUCUGAAAUCAGAAUUACUUGUGAAAAAAUUGAGGGGAAUUUUAAUUUUGUUUCUGAAAAUGAAAUGAAGAUGGAAAGCAAUGAAUUUGAGCCAGAUCCUGAUGAUGAAGAGCUUCAAAGAAUUCAAGAUCCUGUAAUGGUGGCAUGUAAUCGAUUGAAAAAGUCGAUUCAG